ensembl:lncRNA
AUGGAGCAGCUCUUUUUUCUUCUCAUUCCCCUGUUUGCAUCUUCAUCCAUAAUCUCAGCAGGAAAUGACACAAACAUAUCAACUACAGUACCUCCAAACACAACUGCUACGUCUCCAUUGUCUGUUGUUUCAAGAGCAGAAGUCCAAAAAAAUGUGACUUCGUCAUCUCAACAUGAGAAUGGCAUGACCACUCACCCCUCAAAAAAUGUGAGCACAACCACAGCUCCUGUGUCUUCUAGCCACACAGGCAGUACUGAUGGAUCCAGCCUCACUUCGCAUACCACAUCAGGACAGUCCAUCAUCACCAGCUCAACGUUAACCACACUAAAAUCCAACGCUGACUCAACUCUAAAUUCCACCUCAUCCCCAGUGACCAAAAUAACAGGCAGUACUGAUGGAUCCGGCCUCUCUUCACAUAAAACAACAGUGGGUGUUACUCCAAAGACUUUAAAUACUGCUAAUUCAAACAUCAGCAUGUCAGAGGUGACGGCAACACCUUCACAGGCACCAGACAGCGGUCUCACUUUGCUCGCCUUUGGUGUGAUGAGUUUCAUACUCAUUUUAAUUGUUGUCAUGGGGGUCUUGGUGACUGCUAUCAACCUCAGGGGACGGUGUAGAAAUACUAAACAGCACGAGAGUAUUAAAAGCUGUGAUCCUGUGGUGUCUGACAGCAGCACAACCAGCAACUUUGAGAAAGAGAGCAUCACUCUUGUCUCUGUGAGGACUAUAAACACAGAAAACAAUACAGAUUCUCCUCAGAUGUCUUCAGUUCGUAGCACUAUAGUGGAUAAUGAUGACCAAGAAUUUACCAGAGACCUACUGGGCAUCAAAGACGGACUGUGAUUUUACUCAGUUCGUAGUGCACAAGAUUGGAGGCUACAUACUCUAUUUAUAAUACAAACCCGAUUCCAAAAAAGUUGGGACACUGUACAAAUUGUGAAUAAAUACAGAAUGCAAUGAUGUGGAAGUUUCA